rnacentral:rRNA from 1 species
UACGUAGGGGGCUAGCGUUGUCCGGAAUCAUUGGGCGUAAAGAGCGCGUAGGCGGCCAGAUAAGUCCGGUGUGAAAGUCACAGGCUCAACCUGUGAAUGCCGCUGGAAACUGUCUGGCUAGAGUCCGGGAGGGGCGAGUGGAAUUCCUGGUGUAGCGGUGAAAUGCGCAGAUAUCAGGAGGAACACCAAUGGCGAAGGCAGCUCACUGGGACGGUAUUGACGCUGAGACGCGAAAGCGUGGGGAGCAAACAGG